rnacentral:lncRNA from 1 species
UAAAAUUAGACAUUGGUAUAUUUUAGUGGUUAUUUGGAUGGUAAGGAUCUAAAUAAAUGAAAGCUUACUGGGCAUUCUAGGAAAAGGUGGACAGACCGAGUACAUAGCGAAUCCUACCGUAGACAUUACUGUAGUCGGACAGGAUUGAUAAGUCCCAUACUAGAAUGGUUUUGUAAGAUUUGGUUCACCCUCAUACUGGAUGGGGUAUCGAGGUAAUG